AUAAUUUCCAUGAUAGGACUCAGAUCCGCAUGCGAUUUUUUUUGCAGCAACGACACAGUUGAAGUAACUCCUUGGUGGAGGCUGGCUACAUUUUCACAAUGUCCGGCCCCACGUUAGAACUUCGGGGAAAAGGCUCAAGGAAGUGACUAGUCCACCAAACAAAAUAGCCAGUUUGGUCAACGUCCCUCUCAACCUACACUCAGCCAAGAUGAACCAACCUGCAGGGACAGUGGAAAGAGCAUCACAUCAGGAGUCAGGAACUAGCCUACGGCCCUGGACAUAUCCCUUCACCUCCCUGGAAUGAGGGCCCUCCUGAGGAGGCCAGUACUCCUCAGGACUGUCAAGGUCACGAAAAACAAGAAAUGACUAAGAAACUGCUGCAGACCUGAGGAGGCUGGGAAGACUUGACAGCUAAAUGCAGCGUGGCGCCCUGUGCUGGAUCCUGCGACAGAGGACGUCAACAGAAAACUGAUGAAAUCCAAAUGCACUCUGGAGUUUAGUUAAGAAUAAUGCACCAACGUCAAUUCCUUGGUUUUGACAAUGCACCACAAUAAUGUAAGGUGUGAACAAUGGAGGAAACUGGGUAAGGGGCAUGUGGGAACUCUCUUUAUUGUACUAUCCUUGCAGCUGUUAUGAAAAUCCAAAAUUAUCCCCAAAUAAA